GGGCCUAAUGUAUUUCGUUGUGGCGGCCCACCCAUAUUAUUGAGAGGAAUCUCCUCUAUUUAAAGUCAGCUGAGGGGCACCUGGCUGGCUCAGGUGGUGGAGCAUGCAACGCUGGGUCUUGGGUUCUGCGUUCGAGCCCCACGUGUGGUGUGGAGUUUACUUAAAAUGAAAAAAGUUUUAACAAUAAAAAUAAGAUGCAGCUGAUCACAAGCACUAAUUGCAUCUUAAAAAUAAUACCUUCACAGCAACUUCUAGACUAGACACCAGCCAAACACCUGGGCCCCAUACCCUAGGCUCCCAUCGCCAAACACAUGAAGCUUCCUCAGCAGAGGGUACGAGUUGCCCACUGUGAUGACGUCUGUCGCCAGGCUUCCCUCGACUUCAGUAACCCCAGGAGGCACAUAUUACUUUUCCCAUUUUCUAGAAGAGGAGCGUACACUCAGAGAAUGUGUCAUUCCAUGUCCUGUUGAGCAGUGUCCUCCACCACGCUCGCUCCAUUUCACGGGUGAAGAAAUUGGGGUCCAGAGAAGCUAAGCAACAAGGAAGCAUGGCUGGGUCUGAACUCCACGAUCCAGGGAAUACCGCAGUCCAAUAUGGCAUAUCCCCUCAAGAACGGAAGAACCCAGUAAGAUCCUAUUUCCAGACAAGAAAGAUCACCAGCGCAGAUGGGGGAGCAGAGAUCAGUCCGUCACCGUAUCCUUUUGGGAGACCCAGCUCAAUCCACAGCAGUUGAGUUCCACCUGAAACAGACCCUGAGACAAAGAUUUGAAUGCAGAGAGUUUAUUUGUGAGGGGCUCCCCAGGAGUCCUGGUAAGUGAGUGGUGAAGUGAGAAAGAGCAGGGAAGGGAACCAAUAGGGAGGGCAUUAAUGAGCAAGAUGUGGUAGUGGGCAGUUGGGCCUCAGUCAUCUUGGGAGCCUCCAGGAGACAAUGUCAACAGCAUCUCAGAGGUGGUCCCACCUGGGAAAUUUGGGGAAUUUAACCCCCGUCUUUCCCAUGGGCUGAAAGCUCUCGGGCAGUAGGAAAUGGCCACGUGGAGGAAGAGUGAGUAGCCACGGGUGGACUGCCAGCAGCUCUGCCACAACAUCAGAUCACGGAGCCUUCUCUUUCCCAGACAAGGAAUUCCUAUUGGAAAUCACUUCAAUUACUUUUCUGAACAUGGGCAGAAGUUAUCUACCUGGCUUUCCACAUGCCUUGCGGUUCUAGGUUAGGAGUGAGGCAUCGAGGAGAAAGAGAUCCUACAGCUGGGGUUUCCAAACUCUGCCCAAGAGGGAGCUCAAUGCUUUCCCUUUUUUUCUGCUUUUCCUUACCAUGCCACGCUGGACGCAUGUUCCUGGGCCUCCCCAGGACUCGAGCGGCCUGGCGGGCCCCCCAGGCUGUCUCUGAUCCCCCGGACGGUGCAGCCUUGACCCGGGCACGAGGUCACGUCCUCGGCCGGAGCUGAGACUGGUGAGGUUUCUGACGACGGAGGAGCCAAGCGUGUGCAGCUCGGAGUUAUCCUCUGCCUCGGUGAAAAGGCCAGAAUUGGCAUUUUAAAAAUUCAUCACCUUCUAAUAAUAAAACUCUGUAUUUACCGAGGACCGUGGCUGCGAGCGCAGCCGGCUUGUGCAAACAUCGCUCCUGG